rnacentral:rRNA from 1 species
CCCUGGCUCAGAUUGAACGCUGGCGGCAGGCCUAACACAUGCAAGUCGAGCGGUAGAGAGAAGCUUGCUUCUCUUGAGAGCGGCGGACGGGUGAGUAAUGCCUAGGAAUCUGCCUGGUAGUGGGGGAUAACGCUCGGAAACGGACGCUAAUACCGCAUACGUCCUACGGGAGAAAGCAGGGGACCUUCGGGCCUUGCGCUAUCAGAUGAGCCUAGGUCGGAUUAGCUAGUUGGUGAGGUAAUGGCUCACCAAGGCGACGAUCCGUAACUGGUCUGAGAGGAUGAUCAGUCACACUGGAACUGAGACACGGUCCAGACUCCUACGGGAGGCAGCAGUGGGGAAUAUUGGACAAUGGGCGAAAGCCUGAUCCAGCCAUGCCGCGUGUGUGAAGAAGGUCUUCGGAUUGUAAAGCACUUUAAGUUGGGAGGAAGGGCAGUAAAUUAAUACUUUGCUGUUUUGACGUUACCGACAGAAUAAGCACCGG